CCCCGGCACAAACCGUUCCACUCCACCAUCAACCCACCCCGUUUAUCUAAAAAAAUCCACCGAGGCCCCGAUCUAGAUCCCCUCCACCGUGGCCUCCUUCCAACUCCUCUCCUCUCCAAAAGCCAUGGCCGGCGGCUAUGACGCCAUGGCCGGAUCCGGUGACGAUGAGGACGAGGAGGCCAUGAAGGGCCUCUACGCCGGUGUGGCCCCCGCCCCUGCGGAGGAUGAGGAGGAGGUCGACGAGGGGUACGCCGUCGCGGUGAUGAAGGUGGGGAGGAGAGGGGGAUCGGGAAGGAGGGGCUGCGGAAGAGGCUGGUGCGGGAGGGGGAGGGGUCGCAGCUCCCCGGCGCCGGCGACAAGGUCGAAGUGCACUACACGGGGACGCUGGCGGACGGCACCAAGUUCGACUCCAGAGAAGCCCCGUUCCGGUUCACCCUCGGCCGAGGUUCAUUAAUGACAGCCAAGGGUUCAUGCUCGGAAAUGACUACAUCUUGCUCCAUGUUGUCGGCUCAGCUAAAGUCCUUAAUCAUGAAGAGAUGGGACACGUCGAUUGUUAAAGUACACUUGACAGUAGCUAGCGAAGAUCAAGUGGAAAGGUUGUUGAUUGUCCCAAAGUUCUUGGACCAUUUAUUUUGAAAAGCGAGUGAAGCAUUAAGCAUAUAUUUUCGGGGUGGUCGACGCUGACUAGCGCGGCCGGUGGGCGUUGUGCUCUUCAACCACUCAGAGGCGGACUUCUCCGUGAAGCCGGUGGCCAUGUCGCAUAGAUGAUUGUCCAGGUGAUUUUGACGCCGGAGGUCGUCGAGGUGGAGGACCUCGACGCCACCGUCCGGGGGGGAGGGAGGAUCCGGGUCCACCGGCGUCUAAGCUCUGAGCCUUGCUAGAUACAUCUAGGGAAGUGGUCUGUUUAGGUUGACGGAACACCAGGGAAGGUACCCACCUUUCGAUGAUCAUUGUGUGUGUCUGAUGUUAAAUGCAAUCUUGAGAAUGUUAUGUGACACUGGUUUGGUUUGCGCUGGACGUAUUGCCAUCCAUGAAUACUACAUCUAACUUUU